AAUGAUGAGGAUGAGGUGGAGGGAAUUGAUCUGCACCAGCAACGUUACCCGUGGGAGGGAAGUGACAUGGAUUACUUAUACGACGAGAGUUCUUUUGCACAGCUAUUGUCAAUGGAAUUAACACUGGAAAUUGAUGGUGCUAUAUUUCAUGUUCCAAAUGCUAACGCAAGCUCCAAUGUUGAUUCUCAGCUUUAACAUGCCAAAAUCACAAUGCAGUGGGUGUUGUAAGGUAAUUCAGUAGGCACAAAUGUCCAGUUGAAAAAAAUUUUAAACUGUAUUUAUGCAUCAAAUUUAUCAUCCGUAACAUAAUAAUAUGAUUUUUCUGUGCUAGGAACCGUUUGUAAAUAAAUGUCUUGGAUGUAUAUGACUGCUUAGUUUGUUGCUUUUGACAGUGAAAUCACUAAGCUUGCAAUGUGUCAGGACAGCAAAAGCAUCUUAGCUGAUGGUUAGCUUUACAAUUUCGUUGGUUUCUUUUUCCUAUUAUGUUGGAUGGAUUAUUUUAGCUAACAAAUAUCGCAACAGAGCGCUGGCAAUAACUCUAAUAGAUUUAUAUAUACAUUUAGAAUUGGAAAUUUGGUGAGAACAAGAACAAGUACUUCUGUCACGCUAUUGGACAGUUAUAUGUCAUUUCAAGAGAAUUGAUUUCUUAUAUUUUCCAUAAUCAGUAAGAUUUUAACUGUUUUGUCUACUUUGCAUUCAUACCUCAUUCUCCAUCUAACUUCUCGGUGCUACUAUAUAAUGAUCAAGUCAUUUUCUGCACAAAUAGGCAAGUGGGGAUGUUACGUUGAGUGCUUGGUUUAUUGGGCUUGGCUAUACAAAGUCUGUUGUGACUCUAAAACUUUUACCUCAUUUAACAUUGAUUCUGGUUCUUGAGAUAAUUGCAGAUUGUGAAUGAAAGGCACAAGCAGGGAACAUAUGUGUAGCUGCGUUCGACUCGACAUGUAGCGGUAUCUGCAGAUCCGAUGAUCCCAUUGUGGAGGUUAAUAUUCAAUAUGUUGACCUGGAAAUCAUUAUUUGGAAGCUACAUUUCGAGGCAUUUCCUCAACAUAUAAAUAGACCAUAGACAGAGUUUGAUAUUUAUAAUACUCAGUGAUCAUAGAGUCUGCAGAAAACAGUUUUUUUGCAUAUUCUAUAUGGAACCAAGAGAUAUGUCCUUUGUUUGAUGAUUGUAUUAUGAUAGCUACUAACAUAGGAGAUGACUAGAGAAAGAGAAAUGAGUAUGAAACUCUUAUAUGAGUAACUUUUGUAAACACAUUUGGGUUUAUUAACAGUUGUGACAAGCAAUUAUGUUUAUAGUAAAGGAAACCCGCCGCAGCGUCAAUAACAAAUGCGCCUGUUUUUUUGUUGUUUGGGAUUGAAAUAGCUUAUGGGUUUUCUAAAUCAAUAUAAUUGAUUUGACUAAAGCUAUCUUGGAUGACAAAAAGAAGGAUUGCAAGUUUAAUAACUUCUACUUUACACUUUAAUUUCAACUAAAUUAUAAUCAGUUUUUUAUCCAUAUCAUCUUAGUUAUAAUCGUAAGGAUUUAUUAGAAUAAAUAAACAGUUUCAACAAUAUUUAAUAUGUGAUUUAAUAAACAAAAGAACAUGUAGGAUUUUUAGGAUUUAAAGAGAUUGGAGACAAUAGUUAAUGAAUAUGAAAAGAAUACGAAGCAGAUGAUGAAAAAUGAUUUGAGCAAAUUAGUGGCAACACAGAGUUAACCAAGAUAAAAAUAUCAAUCAAUAAAGAAUGAAAGAAAAAUGAGUAGGGUUAAGUUAUUACACAAGCCAAAACUAAGACAAAUCAAACGACAGAACAUGAAAACAAAUGUAAACAAGACAAGAAGAGAUGGUGAAGAUAAAAUGCAUUGAAAAACUGAAUGCUAGAUUAGUAAGCAAUAGACAAAAAUAGAUUAAAAUGCAAAAACUCUGCGUCUUGGCGCGGAUAACGAUCCCUAGUCUAUAUUAUAAUGAGCCAGUUUUUGCUCACUUCUAAAGAGUCCUGCAUCUUUGUGGGCUCUACUUUUAUUUUUUAUUUUAAACAAAAUUAUUAUACAUUUAAAUGCAUCGUAUCUCAUGUAUUCUCAUCGUUACUACAUGUCAUCGGUUUCAAAUUUUUUUCCCUAAUGGGCUUGAAACUAUUUGCUCCCGAAGCAAAGAGUUUCCUGUUAACGGGCCUGCAAAAAAAGAAAACAAUAAUAAUAAUAUAAUAUAUAGAUUUUGUGAGAUAUAAUUGAAACGAGAGGUACUUUGGCUUCCAGAGCUCCCUUUGUAGCUAAUAGCUCUUGAGAUCUUCGAUUUCACUUUGCUCUUUUUUUUUAGGUUCAAACUUCUUUUGUUGCCUUCUUUUUCCCGGAUCUGCUUCCAUUGAUUGAAUAAUCCUAAUUGCAGAAAACUCUACCCAGAAGCCGAUCGAAUUGUUGCACGAAAUCGUCACAGGAGGAGGAGGUGAUGAUGAGAAUCUCUUGAUCUACUGUAAACCUGUUCGUCUCUACAACAUUCUUCGCAUUCGCUCUCUAUUCAACGUAAAUCAAUUGCGUCUCUCUCUCUCUCUGAAUCAUUCUUUUAGCCCAGCUGAUACUGCUUGUCUCUCACUCAUGGUCUUUGUUUUUUUCAUGCAUGCCGCCAUCGUUUCUUCCUAGAUGCUUGAGCAAAGGGCAAAAGAAAGUGAAGUGGUGACGGAUGGUGAGAAGUCGAAGUCGGGGAAGAAGGGAGCUAAGGCUCCAUGUGCGAAGCCACUUUCUCAGUAUUCUCAGGCAUACUUUGAUGCGCCCGGGGUUUAGUAAAUUUAAGCUUUUUAUAUUGGCCAAUUUGUAACCAACCACUGUUAUUGUUUUCCAUAUUCAUAUUCAUGAAUGGAGUUUUAGUGAAGGUGAUUUCCUUGAAAUAAGCAAGCAGAUGAUGCUUAAUCACCAAAAGCUUACACAACCGAGGAUUACCUCAAAGAUCACUGAAGAGCAGCUCAAAGCUUCGUCUCCUGGUAAAAGCCAAACAGAGGAUCAAAUUCAGACUCAAGAACCUGCUGUACAAAGCCAGCCUGAAGUUAGUUACAUCGAGAGAGACCAUGGCUGCAUCUCCUCCAACGCAAGAUUAAAAGGCACCCAAAAAUUUGACUCGUCAUGUUAAAAGCAUAAAAGCCUCUCUGUCUAUUGGGAGGCUUUCGGAGGCACAUUUUUCAUUUGACAAAGGAGACAACGCAAUUAGCUCUCAGGACGUUGUCAGGAAGCAUUAUAUAUUGUGCUGUUCUUAUGAAUUGAAAAUAUGAGAGUGUGCGACACAUGUGUAUUUAUGUGCUAUUUGUUUCUUACUUAAUGAUUAUAAAUAGGGUUUGUUAGUUAAA